GCCCCGGGGCCAACGCCGGUGCCGCCGCCCCCGGCACGGCAGCAGCCGCCCCCGCCGCGGCCCCCGCCGCCCCCGGCAAUGACGAGGAGCUGCAGCGGCUGCGCCGCCGCGAAGCCGAGCUGGAGCAGCGCGUCAAGGAGCUGGAGGAGGCCGCGGCCGUGCUGGCCAAGCAGGGGCCCGUCCCCCCACCGGCAGCAGUGGCGGUGGCAGCGCCCUCCAAGGACCUCGAGGAGACCAUCGCCAAGCUGGAGAGGGAGCUGCAGCUCCGCACAGAGGAACGCGAGAACUACAAAAACCACCUGCAGCAGCUCGAGAAGGAGCUGGCGACCGCCAAGCAGGCCCUGAAGGACGCUGACGCCAAACGUGUCGAUCUCGCCGCUCAGCUGGCCACUGCCAACGACAAGAAGAAGGAAAGAGAGGAGCUGACGGCCAAGCAGGAGCAGCAGAUCGCGGCCCUUCAGAACCAGGUAAGCAUCUUCCACAUAGAUAAGAUCAUUUA